rnacentral:ribozyme from 1 species
GGCGGAGAAAUCCGCCGGCUGUAAUGCUACCACAUACACGGUGAGAGUUCCAAGUCUCUAUUAAAAGCAGAGGACAGC